rnacentral:rRNA from 1 species
UGCAAGUCGAGCGGUAACAGGAGUAAUUUAUUACUUGCUGACUAGCGGCGGACGGCUGAUUAACGCGUGGGAACAUGCCCCAAAUUGAGGAAUAACUGCCCGAAAGGGUACCUAAUGCCCCAUAUGAUCUUCGGAUUAAAGGAUUUAUCCUUUUUGGGAGUGGCCUGCGUACGAUUAGGUAGUUGGUGAGGUAAAGGCUCACCAAGCCUACAAUCGUUAACUGGUCUGAAAGGAUGAUCAGUCAGACUGGAACUGAGACACGGUCCGGACUCCUACGGGAGGCAGCAGUGAGGAAUCUUCCACAAUGGGCGAAAGCCUGAUGGAGCGACCCCGCGUGCAGGAUGAAGGCCCUCGGGUUGUAAACUGCUUUUAUAAGUGAAGAAUAUGACGGUAACUUAUGAAUAAUCACCGGCUAACUACGUGCCAGCACCCGCGGUCAUACGUAGGGUGCAAGCUUUAUCCGGAGUGACUGGGCGUAAAGAGUUGCGUAUGUGGUUUGUUAAGUGAAUAGUGAAAUCUGGCGGCUCAACCGUACAGGCUAUUAUUCAAACUGGCAAACUCCAGAAUGGUAGAGGUAACUGGAAUUUCUUGUGUAGGAGUGAAAUCCGUAGAUAUAAGAAGGAACACCAAUGGCGUAGGCAGGUUACUGGACCAUUUCUG